rnacentral:rRNA from 1 species
UAAUACGUAGGGUGCGAGCGUUAAUCGGAAUUACUGGGCGUAAAGCGUGCGCAGGCGGUUCGUUGUGUCGGUGGUGAAAGCCCCGGGCUUAACCUGGGAAUGGCCAUGGAAACUGGCGAACUGGAGUGUGGCAGAGGGGGGUGGAAUUCCGCGUGUAGCAGUGAAAUGCGUAGAGAUGCGGAGGAACACCGAUGGCGAAGGCAGCCCCCUGGGCUAACACUGACGCUCAGGCACGAAAGCGUGGGGAGCAAACAGGAUUAGAUACCCUGGUAGUCCACGCCCUAAACGAUGUCGACUGGGUGUUGGGGAAGCGAUUUCCCAGUACCGUAGCUAACGCGUGAAGUCGACCGCCUGGGGAGUACGGCCGCAAGGUUA